GCUGUGGUUUGGGGAACUGAGUGGGAGGUGACAGUCGUGUCAGAGGCUGUGAGCAGCCGCGCUGCUCACCACCGAGUUGGAGCUAAUUAUACCGGCACCCAGGGCUGACCGUGGGCGCUGAGCAGAGGCAGAAGGGUACAACUCAGCUGUGCUGUUGGAAGGGAUCCGUGGGAGGUGGCAUUCGUCACUGCACCUGCGGAUCGGAACAAGGCCAGGCACCGCGCCAAGGACUCACUCCUGCUGUCUCUCUUCAUGCUUACAGCAGCCCUGUGGUGGAGGGAGCAUCGUGAUCCCUUCGCUGCAGAUGAGGAAACUGAGGCGCAGAGAAGGUCCGAGAUCUUACAGCUGGUGAGGGGCAGAGCAAGAUGCCAACCUAUGCCUGUUGGAUUCCAAAGUUUAUACUUUAAUCGUUCGUCUAGCAGAUUCUUACAACAAUCCUGGGAGAAUAUUGUUUUAGCCUGGAUUCUCCAGAAAACAGAGCCUUUGGCAAGUUUGUAUGCUAACACCUCGCUGGGGAGUGCAACCUUGGAGAAACCAGAUUGAGAGAAAAAUGAGGCAAGAAGAAGUGCAAAGAUAAGAGGCAUUACUGAGAGGACCCAAGUUUUGUAAUUAAUGAAGCUAACUGCUUGGACUCACAGUACAUCCUCAGAUCUUCAGAGAAGUUGUACGAACUACCCUGUCUUGGAACAUCCUCAGGAGGAGAAAGUAAGCUUGGUUAAAAGAACUCCAGAUGGCCCGGGGGCUGCAGGACUCCUUGCCAAUUAUCAGAGGAAGAUAAGGCCUGUGUGAAACCGGGGCAAACCUGAACCAGCGACCCCGUGUUACCUUUAGAUCAUUAACAUAUCAUCAUAAUGCUAAAACCUCACCCAUAGAAGAUAAUUGCUGCCAUUUUCUGAAUAUACAUUAUGUGAAGAAGCAUGUUCAUGAUCUGCACCUGCACGUCUGGAGUUCCUCCCCACAUGUGUUUACCUACCUCCCUGCCCCACAUCUAACGCCUUAAAAUCCCCCAGCUUCUCAUAUCUCAGGGAGAAGGAAUCUUUAGAGAAAGAGCUCCCUCCUCCGUUCCUGGCCAGGAAUAAAACCUGCUUGCCCUUUUUCCCAUUAGGUGUUACAGUAGAACUCAGUUAGCCUGUAACAAUAAGAAUUGCAUUAAAUCCUUAUAUCAACUUGGGAAGAAUUGACAGAUUUACCAUAUUAAGUCUUCUAAUCCAUAAGUAAGUAUGGUCAUUCUUUUUUUAGAUUUUUGAAAUUUCUUUCAUCAGCAAUUUUGUAGUUCUUUCCCUCACUAUCUAGAUCCCAAAUAUUUUCUAUUUUUUUUUCUGAAAGUUCUAUCUCUUACAAUUUAAACCUGAGUAGUUACCAGCAUGCAAGCCCUGUACCUGUUUUGUUGGAUUUAAAUUUAAGUAUUUUGUUUUUUGAUACAUUGUAAAUGCUACUGUAUUUUAAAUUUCAGUGCCCAUGUGUUCAUUGCUAGUAUAAAGAAAUACAACAUAUUCCAGCAGUCUAGCUGAAGUCACUUAUCAGCUCUAGGAGUUUUUGUUUUUGAUUCUAUUUUUGGUAGAUCUUUGAGUUUUCCCACUUAGAUAAGCAUGUUAUCUGCAAAUAGGGACAGUUUUAUUACUACCUUUCUGAUCUAUAUGCCUUUUAUUUCCUUUUCUUACCUUAUUGCAUUGGGUAGAACUUCUAACACUGUUUAACAAUAAUGGUAAGAGCAAUCAUCCUUGCCCUGUUCCUGUUCUCAGGGUACAUUCAUUCAUUCUUUCACUGUUAAGUAUGAUGCUGGCUGUGGAGUUGUUAUAGAUGCUCUUUAACAAGUUAGGACAAAUUCCCUCUAUUUCUAUUUUUCUGAGCAUUUUUAAACCCAUGAAUGGGUGUUUUGUCAAAUGCUUUUUCUGUAUUGAUUGGUAAGAUCAAUUUUCUUUUGUAUCAAUUUUCUUUUGUUAAUAUGUUGGAUUAUGUUGACUGAUUUGUGAAUAGUAAAACAGCCCUGCAUUCCUGCAGUAAGCCUCACUUUGUUACAAGAUCUUUGGGGUGUUGCUUUUCUGGCCAGAAACCUCUGUGGCCAGUGGCCCCUUUGCCCAAGUUUUGUUUGGGCCCACUGGGCUCCUUCUGCCCACUUGGCCUGGCAGGCUGUGCUCAGCUCAUGCUACCAGCCUGGAUCCCACGUCUGCCAAAGGCAAGUCAGGCAUGGCGUGGCAAGGGGUGUGUGAGCAAGCGUGGAGUCUGGUCACUGUGCAGUCAGACAUGUCAGCUGCUGCAGUGGGGUGGGCAGCUCCAGGUGCUGGCAUAGGCACUAGCUCUCUGUGAGGCUGUGGCUGGGCCAGGCACACUGCACGCAGCUUCCACAGCUGGAACCGGGGAACACAGUGGUGCCUGGAAGCUUGGAGAUGCCAGGAACCACGGGGCUCCCAAAAAGGAGUCAUAGACCGGGCUUGGGGAGCUCCAAGGUCUGGGAUCCCCUAAGGGCCACAGCUGUUCUUUCUUUCUCUUCACCCUCAAUGUAGCGAGCAAGGGACAUAUUUCAACCCUGUUUGUGUUACAGCCCUUUUAGCCCUGCCAUUCAAUGGGUCCCAAGUUCUUGUCCUAUAACCAGGAAGAAGGAGGUACGCAGACAAGUGGAGGCUCUGAGCAAGAUGAAAAGGAGCUUUAUUGAGUGAUAGGACAGUUCAGAGGAAACCUGCAGUGGGUAGCUCCUUUCCACAGCCAGGGUGUCCUGAUGAGUGUUCAGCUCCUAGCAAAGAGGAGACCCUGGAGUGGGAAGCUCCUCUUUGCUUGCAGGUGGUCCCAUUGUCUCUGCAGCUCUCAGCAGAGAGUAGGCUCUGGAGUGGGUAGCUCCUCUCUGCUGUUGGUCAUCCCAGUGUCUGCUCAGCUCUGGUUGAGCCCAGGGGUAUUAUGGGCUUCAGAGGGGGGAAAGUGUAUGCCAGCUGGUCCAUGGGUAGCCAUGGGCAGGCCCAGAAAAGGCACCACAAGCUCCCACUCUGGUCUGUGGGGCUGGUAGCCCGACCCCAGCCUUCAGGCCCUCCUUGGCCUGAAGGUGGGGCCUCACUGGGGAUCUGCCCCCUUCUGCCCCAGAGCCUAUCGCCCUCCUGCCACUGUCCAUGGCACCCAGGCUGCUCACAGCAAGGGGCACCUGCAGGCCAGCACAAGCCACCCUCAACUUGGUCAUUGUGUAUACUUUUUUUUUACAUUGUUGAAUUCUACUUGCUAAUUUAAAAAAAAGUUGCAUCUAUAUUCAUGAUGUUAGUCUUUUGUUUUCUGUACUAUCUAUCUUUUUUUUGGUUUGAGUAUCAGAUUUAGUACUAGCUUCAUAAAAUAAAUGGGAAAGUCUACCCUCAUCUUCAAUUUUCUGGAAGAGAUUUUGUAGAAUUAGUGUUAAUUCUUUUUUAAACUUUUGGCAGAAUUCUCCAUGAACUCUCUUGGUCUAGGAGAUGUUUUUAAAUUUUAGUUUUAAAAUUACAAAUUCAGUUUUAAAAUUCCAUUUCAUAUUGGGUGAGUUAUAGUUUUUGAGGAAUUGGCUUGUUUAAUCUGUCAAAUGUGUGUACGUAGAGUUGUUUGUAGUAUUCCCUCCUAUCCUUCUGAUGUAUACAGAGUCUGUAGUGAUAUCCCAUUUCAUCCUUGAUGUUUCAUUCCAUUUCACCCGCUUUCUUUUCUCUCCUCGUUACUGGUUGUGGGAAUGGGAAUUCCAUCUUCUCCGUAGGCCUCUACUAAGACCUCCAUGACUUGGGGGACAAUUGGGUGGGAUGGCUUAUGACUGCUCCCCAAGGGGCCUCCACUGACACCACAGUGGUGGUGGCCUCAUUACCACUAGUUGGUGGUGAAAGUCCUGACCCUCCUCUGGGUUUUCUGGGACACUGCCCCAGCAGAGCAGAGAGGGGCACCUCGUAACUGCUGGAUGGGAGUGGAAGUCCAGGCUCCCUGACUGUCUUCACUGAUAUUGCAGGGAGCCCAUGGGGAGAGUUGAGGUGCCUCUUUACAGACUGGUGUGGGUGGAAUUCUAGGAUCUCCACUCUGCCUUUGCUUGUGUGAGUGUGGGUGGGCCACAGUCUUUUCUGUGGUGUUUGGCUGGAGUAGAAAGGUUAUUGUCUCAAGGGUUUCUAUCUUGUAAGGCUGCCCCUUUUCUGCUUUCUGUUUUGUUUUUGCUUUGUCUAGAGGGAGUAGGUUUUUGUUGGGACUUUUCCCCCCAUCUCAAACACUAGAGUUUCCAGGUCGUGAACUUCUUCAAGUCUGGGAUAUAUGAGACAAAAUGAAAGCCAGGAGAACGCACUAUGAUGGUCCCAAGUCUCCUAGCUGGGCUGCCUUCUUUUCCCCACUUUUCAGAAUAUUCUUAUACUUGCUUUAUAUACAAACUAAAUCUACUGAAAAAAUACAAUAACCAAAAUAAAUGGAUGGGCUCAAUAGCCAAAUAGAGGAGAGAGAGGGGAAAAAAAUCACUGAAUUGGGAACUAUAACUAGAGAAACCACCCAGACUGAAAAACAGAGAGAAAAUAAAUGGAAAACAAUGAACGGAGCUUCAGGGACCUGUGAGACUAUCACAAGACCCAGUGUUUGUGUCACUGAAGUUGCAGAAGAAGAAAAGAAAGAAGACAAGGCUGAAAAGGUAUUCAAAGAAAUAAUGGCUGAAAGUUUCCCAAAUGUCCAGAGUGUUUAGUUGUCCUUACUGGGAGGAAUAGGGAGAAGUGUGUCUACUCCAUCUUCCUGAAAGCUGAAGAACCAAGCACUCCCGGAUGGGGAAGCUGGGAAGAAUACUGAUAAGCUAUGCACAGAAGCAGUCCUGGGAGGACCCUGCCACAGGCAGAAACACACUGGACACUCAAAGCCAUACUGCUGGGUGCUGGAGUCCAUUGCUUCUUCUGAGAAGAAUCGCUAACUUUUCUGGGGUCUUCGUACCUUUAGCACCUGAUUCAAAUUCUUGGGAAGGCUAACCUGAGUGGCCAGUCGCAGGGAGCGGGCCCAGGCCCUGCCUGUCAGCAGGUGUGGAAAGAAAAUGUACAGCAUCCUGCAGCAUCCCUGGUGGAAGCUGGAGCCUGUUUUCCAUCAAGCCACACACACUGGGGGAUUCCUCAAUUUGUCCAAUUAGGAGGUCAGUGCAUGAGGUUGCUGUAAUCCCACAUCCCCGCAACACUCAGUUUUACUGAACUUCCUAAUAUUUGCCAAUCUAAUAGGUGUAAAAUUGUAUCUCAUUGUUGCAUCAAUUUGCAUUUCCUGGAUUAUUAACAUUUGUGAGCACCUCUCAUAUGAGUGUUAGUUUUUGAGAGUUGUCAUUCUGCAAAUUGCCUGUUUAUAUCCUCUGGUGCUUCACCCAGGUAUAUUUAUGUUUACUACGCUUUUGAAUGGGAGCUUAUUUCCCUGAGUGUUACAGACAUUUGAGACAGUUACAUUAUAAAAAUAUAUUACUGAGUGAAGAGAUAAUCAUAAGAUGUAGUUCUUUAAUAAUUCCAGAUUUGAAAAACAACCACAUUAAAUGUUAUUAUUUCCGGGAAGUGA